AGGACGAACGCUGGCGGCGUGCUUAACACAUGCAAGUCGAGCGGAAAGGCCCUUCGGGGUACUCGAGCGGCGAACGGGUGAGUAACACGUGAGUAACCUGCCCUGGACUUUGGGAUAACCCUCGGAAACGGGGGCUAAUACCGAAUAUGACCUGGUUUCGCAUGUGACUGGGUGGAAAGUUUUUCGGUCUGGGAUGGACUCGCGGCCUAUCAGCUUGUUGGUGAGGUAAUGGCUCACCAAGGCGACGACGGGUAGCCGGCCUGAGAGGGCGACCGGGCCAACGACUGGAACUGAGACACGGUCCAGACUCCUACGGGAGGCAGCAGUGGGGAAUAUUGCGCAAUGGGCGAAAGCCUGACGCAGCGACGCCGCGUGAGGGAUGAAGGUCUUCGGAUUGUAAACCUCUUUCAGCAGGGACGAAGCGCAAGUGACGGUACCUGCAGAAGAAGCACCGGCUAACUACGUGCCAGCAGCCGC
rnacentral:rRNA from 1 species